rnacentral:rRNA from 1 species
GUCCCGGCCCUAAACGAUGAUUGCUUGGUGUGAUCGGUACCCAAUCCGAUUGUGCCGCAGCUAACGCGAUAAGCAAUCCGCCUGGGAGUACGGUCGCAAGGCUGAACUCAAGGAAUUGACGGGGCCCGCACAAGCGGUGGAGCAUGUGGUUCAAUUCGACGCAACGCGAAGAACCUUACCUGGGCUCGAAAUGCAGGAGACCGGGUGGAAACAUCCUUUUCUCGCAAGAGACUGCUGUAUAGGUGCUGCAUGGCUGUCGU